ACCUUCACUGCACUUUUAGCACCACAGCAGCAUGUCUAACUCUCUUAGUCUGACUUUCUACACCCAAAGUGAUCAAAGGGAAUAAUGUGAUUAUUAGCCAUCAGAUGACAAAAGUAAAACCUCUCAAAUCAUUCUAGAGUCUGUUUUA